rnacentral:rRNA from 1 species
UACGGAGGGUGCGAGCGUUGUUCGGAAUCACUGGGCGUAAAGCGCGUGUAGGCGGCCCACUAAGUCUGAUGUGAAAGCCCGGGGCUCACCCCCGGAAGUGCAUUGGAAACUGGUGGACUCGAGUCCCGGAGAGGAGAGUGGAAUUCCUGGUGUAGCGGUGAAAUGCGUAGAUAUCAGGAGGAACACCGAUGGCGAAGGCAGGUCUCUGGGCAUUAACUGACGCUGAGGAGCGAAAGCAUGGGGAGCGAACAGG